rnacentral:rRNA from 1 species
UGGGUAGGGGAGCGUUCUGUAAGCCGUUGAAGGUGGCGCUGUGAGGCCCGCUGGAGGUAUCAGAAGUGCGAAUGCUGACAUAAGUAACGAUAAAGCGGGUGAAAAACCCGCUCGCCGGAAGACCAAGGGUUCCUGUCCAACGUUAAUCGGGGCAGGGUGAGUCGACCCCUAAGGCGAGGCCGAACGGCGUAGCUGAUGGGAAACAGGUUAAUAUUCCUGUACUGAAUGUGACUGCGAAGGGGGGACGGAGAAGGCUAGGCCAUCCGGGCGACGGUCGUCCCGGUUUAAGCGUGUAGGUGGGAGGAGCAGGCAAAUCCGCUCUUCUUUAACACUGAGGCGUGAUGACGAGCUGCUACGGCAGUGAAGUGGUUGAUGCCCGGCUUCCAGGAAAAGCCUCUAAGCAUCAGGUCAUAUUGAAUCGUACCCCAAACCGACACAGGUGGUCAGGUAGAGCAUACUCAGGCGCUUGAGAGAACUCGGGUGAAGGAACUAGGCAAAAUGGUGCCGUAACUUCGGGAGAAGGCACGCUGGCAGUAGGUGAAGGAGUUUGCCUCCGGAGCCGAAGCCAGUCGCAGAGACCAGCUGGCUGCAACUGUUUAUUAAAAACACAGCACUGUGCAAACACGUAAGUGGACGUAUACGGUGUGACGCCUGCCCGGUGCUGGAAGGUUAAUUGAUGGGGUUAGCCGCAAGGCGACGCUCUUGAUCGAAGCCCCAGUAAACGGCGGCCGUAACUAUAACGGUCCUAAGGUAGCGAAAUUCCUUGUCGGGUAAGUUCCGACCUGCACGAAUGGCGUAAUGAUGGCCAGGCUGUCUCCACCCGAGACUCAGUGAAAUUGAACUCGCUGUGAAGAUGCAGUGUCCCCGCGGCAAGACGGAAAGACCCCGUGAACCUUUACUAUAGCUUGACACUGAACAUGGAGCCUUGAUGUGUAGGAUAGGUGGGAGGCCUGGAAGUGCGGACGCCAGUCCGCAUGGAGCCAUCCUUGAAAUACCACCCUUGAAUGUUCGAUGUUCUCACUUAAGCCCGUCAUCCGGGCUGAGGACAGUGUCUGGCGGGUAGUUUGACUGGGGCGGUCUCCUCCCAAAGGGUAACGGAGGAGCACGAAGGUUGGCUAAUCACGGUCGGACAUCGUGAGGUUAGUGCAAAGGCAUAAGCCAGCUUAACUGCGAGAGUGACGGCUCGAGCAGGUACGAAAGUAGGUCUUAGUGAUCCGGUGGUUCUGCAUGGAAGGGCCAUCGCUCAACGGAUAAAAGGUACUCCGGGGAUAACAGGCUGAUACCGCCCAAGAGUUCAUAUCGACGGCGGUGUUUGGCACCUCGAUGUCGGCUCAUCACAUCCUGGGGCUGAAGUAGGUCCCAAGGGUAUGGCUGUUCGCCAUUUAAAGUGGUACGCGAGCUGGGUUUAGAACGUCGUGAGACAGUUCGGUCCCUAUCUGCCGUGGGCGCAGGAAGAUUGAAAGGGGCUGCUCCUAGUACGAGAGGACCGGAGUGGACGCACCGCUGGUGUACGGGUUGUCAUGCCAAUGGCAUCGCCCGGUAGCUAAGUGCGGGAGAGAUAACCGCUGAAAGCAUCUAAGCGGGAAACUUGCCUUGAGAUGAGUCUUCCCUUGACUUAGAGUCACGGAAGGAACGUUUAAGACGAAGACGUGGAUAGGCUGGGUGUGUAAGCGCAGCGAUGCAUUGAGCUGACCAGUACUAAUGAACCGAGCGGCUUAACCUU